AGAGCACGCGGCUUAUGUGAAGGGUAAGCGCAAUUGUUCGGAAGGAAUGAUCCGUGAAUGCGGUCUAGGACCGGCAUCAAGGCAAGUAAUAAGACGAAUUGACCCCUGGUAAACUUGAUGAAUAGACGCGCAAUGUCACUAACCGGAAAGGAAUGAUUACCGUAAAGUAUGGAUAAUGAAUCAAUGGAAUUUACUUCCGUCAGGUACGUAUAAAAAGGGUUGUAACUUUAGUAUGAGGUUAUGACUCGACUAGAGAGGGAUGCGUCAGAAUAGAAUAUGUGUAUACAAAACCGUAAUGAAAAAUGUGAAGUGAACUUCUAAAUGUUCGUAAUGAUCGUCGAGUGGUAUUGAACCUGAAUGCUCAUAACUGUGGAAAUUCUGAUAGAAUAUAAGAGAUGACAAGUAUCGUUAAGAAAUGCUAACUUUGAUGCUCGGCUUGUUGGCCAUGUUCAUUUGAACAAGAUAUUGUAGGAAAGAUACGCAUGGCACGUAUAACAAUAGUAACCAUGGAAAUAAUACUUAGUCUUCGAAUUAAGUACGGAUAAGUAAGUUGAAGAAGGGUGACUUUGAUUUAAAUAAUAAGUCUUUGAAUGAUUA